rnacentral:rRNA from 1 species
UCCUACGGGAGGCUGCAGUGGGGAAUAUUGGACAAUGGGCGCAAGCCUGAUCCAGCCAUGCCGCGUGAGUGAUGAAGGCCUUAGGGUUGUAAAGCUCUUUCAGUAGGGAAGAUAAUGACGGUACCUACAGAAGAAGCCCCGGCUAACUUCGUGCCAGCAGCCGCGGUAAUACGAAGGGGGCUAGCGUUGUUCGGAUUUACUGGGCGUAAAGCGCACGUAGGCGGAUUGUUAAGUUAGGGGUGAAAUCCCAGGGCUCAACCCUGGAACUGCCUUUAAUACUGGCAAUCUAGAGUCCGGAAGAGGUGAGUGGAACUCCGAGUGUAGAGGUGGAAUUCGUAGAUAUUAGGAAGAACACCAGUGGCGAAGGCGGCUCACUGGUCCGGUACUGACGCUGAGGUGCGAAAGCGUGGGGAGCAAACAGGAUUAGAUACCCGGGUAGUCCU